rnacentral:rRNA from 1 species
AGUUUGAUCCUGGCUCAGAACGAACGCUGGCGGCGCGUUUUAAGCAUGCAAGUCGAACGGCAGGGGGCUUCGGCCCCCGAGAGUGGCGGACGGGUGAGUAACACGUGGAUAAUCUGCCCCCCGGUCGGGGAUAGUCCGUGGAAACACGGGGUAAUACCGGAUGCGACCGGGAGCGCGAAAGCGCACCCGAGGAAAGGCGCUACGGCGCCGCCGGGGGAUGAGUCCGCGGUCCAUUAGCUGGUUGGCGGGGUAACGGCCCACCAAGGCGACGAUGGGUAGCCGGCCUGAGAGGGUGUACGGCCACAUUGGGACUGAGACACGGCCCAGACUCCUACGGGAGGCAGCAGCUAAGAAUCUUCCGCAAUGGGCGAAAGCCUGACGGAGCGACGCCGCGUGGAUGAAGAAGGCGGAAACGUUGUAAAAUCCUUUUCUUGAGGAGGAAUAACCCUGCCAGGGAAUGGGCGGGGGAUGACGUUAAUCAAGGAAUAAGCCCCGGCUAAUUACGUGCCAGCAGCCGCGGUAACACGUAAGGGGCAAGCGUUGUUCGGAAUUAUUGGGCGUAAAGGGCGUGUAGGCGGUUUUGAAAGCCUGGUGUUAAAAACCACAGCUUAACUGUGGAAGAGCGCUGGAAACUGUGAGACUUGAGUUUAGGAGGGGGAGCUGGAAUUCCAGGUGUAGGGGUGAAAUCUGUAGAUAUCUGGAAGAACACCGGUGGCGAAGGCGAACUCCUGGCCAUGUACUGACGCUGAGGCACGAAGGCGUGGGGAGCAAACAGGAUUAGAUACCCUGGUAGUCCACACGGUAAACGAUGUACACUAGGUGGUGGGCGGUAGCGCUCAGUACCGAAGCAAACGCAUUAAGUGUACCGCCUGGGGAGUAUGCUCGCAAGGGUGAAACUCAAAGGAAUUGACG